rnacentral:rRNA from 1 species
AUUGAACGCUGGCGGCAUGCUUUACACAUGCAAGUCGAACGGUAACAGGGAGCUUGCUCCGCUGACGAGUGGCGAACGGGUGAGUAAUAUAUCGGAACGUACCCAAGAGUGGGGGAUAACGUAGCGAAAGUUACGCUAAUACCGCAUACGAUCUAUGGAUGAAAGCAGGGGACCUUCGGGCCUUGUGCUCCUGGAGCGGCCGAUAUCUGAUUAGCUAGUUGGUGAGGUAAAGGCUCACCAAGGCGACGAUCAGUAGCUGGUCUGAGAGGACGACCAGCCACACUGGAACUGAGACACGGUCCAGACUCCUACGGGAGGCAGCAGUGGGGAAUUUUGGACAAAGGGCGCAAGCCUGAUCCAGCAAUGCCGCGUGAGUGAAGAAGGCCUUCGGGUUGUAAAGCUCUUUUGUCAGGGAAGAAACGGCUGUGGCUAAUAUCCACGGCUAAUGACGGUACCUGAAGAAUAAGCACCGGCUAACUACGUG